rnacentral:lncRNA from 1 species
UAUUGUUGUAUUGUUUGCCCCAGGCCAUACUAUAGGUAGCCGGCUAGCUUCUAGACUGACUACCUUGGGGGCUUGUGACCACCUCUGAUCCAAUCAACAGUCAUGCCACACAAAGGCCACCAUGUGGACCUGUGCAGAGCCUUGAACCUGGAAGCAUACGGAAUUUCUCAGGCUAGGGGUCAGUUUGGAGCUGCAGCUGUUAGCCUACACCACAGCCACAGCAACAUGGGAUCAAAGCCAUGUCUGAGACCUACAACACAGCUCAUAGCAACACCAGAUCCCUGACCCACUGACCAAGGCCAGAGAUUGAACCCGCAUCCUCAUGGAUACUAGUCAAUUCGUUUCUACUGCACCACAAGGGGAACUCCUCGUGUAUUCCUAUUUUUUAUUCUGAGCUAGUAUAUAAGCUACAUGAAGGCAGAAGCCAUUGUUUAAAGUUCUGUGUUCUCCAUAGCCCCUGGCACAGGGAAAGACUUGCAGAGUAAGCACUCAAUACAUAUUAAUGUAUUAAUUGCCUCUGGAACCUAGUUAAGACAACAACAACAACAAAAAAAAACAGGCUGUUCUUGGGACAAUUAACACUUGACCGAAUUUUCAUAUGCUUUCUAUGUCCCUCCUUCUGUAUUAUAAUCCUACUACAUAUUAUAUCUACUUAAAUAGCACCUCUUCCCACCAAGAUUUGAGGUAGUGUGUGGUUAUUUAUUUCCCCAAUAACAAUGCUUAGGCAGCAGAAGAUUCUGAAAAGAAAAACUCAUAGGUUAACUUUUACUAUGUGAGAAAAGAAGUUUCAAUAUAGGUUUAAAUAGGAGCCCGUGUGUAACCCUGAGUCAAUCAAACCACUUUAAUAUCUUUCGGCAUUCUGGCUCUUGGUCAUUCUGCUAACAUUUAGCCUUCCCAUGUGUACUAGUUGCCUAAUGUUUCCUAAAGGCCUAAACAGAGCCCCAGAAGUGGUGUGGUCACUUCACCAAAGUCUUCAUUUUCUAUCUAAUUCAGGGAUUGCCAGGAAUGUGAUGUUUGUGUCAUUAAAACUCACUUACACAACAGACUUUGAGAAAUCCAAUGUCGUUUCUUUCAAAGAUUAUACUUUAAGUCCUUUUCCAUUACUUUUGGCACAUUAAACAUUCUAAGUGGAUGCAAAAUAUAAAUAAUUGGGGACAUAAUGCAUGCAUGUAAAGGUAGCAUUCAUGCUAAUAAAAUAUCAGAGUAAUGUUUUCCUCCAUUGUCAUUAGAUAAGCAUUUCCUUUUUAACCAUUAAUUUGCUUAAUAAGCCUCCCUCUUUUAAAUAAAUCAUUAUAAAAAAUACAUUUCAACCCAUCUUCUUAAAUUGCUUCUUGGACCCAUGUAUUCUUUCUUUCUUUGGUCCCACAUAGGGGACUCUAUUUAUUUGCAUGUGUGCAGCCUCCAGGAUGUGGAUGGCCCCACAUCUUCAGAGUGACACCUCUGACCUGUGUUUCAGCUGCAUCUUCAGCCACUCUUCCAACAGUACUAGGCCCCUGCUUCUGGGUGGUGCAAUAUGUCAAACACCCCAAGUGUGUGGUAGGGAAAAGGGGUGAGCUACUUAUUUAUAUAUCCUACCUGUUCUAGAUCCUAGAUAUUCUGCUGCCAAUGUGCAAUGAGAAACUCCUGGGUGCACCUGAUUCUAUGACUUGGUAGUUCAGCAAGACCUUACAAAUGAUGGGAGGUUCUGAACUCAUGGCUACUUUGUGUCCACAUCAACAAGUAGUCUGUCUUCACAAGGUACUGUUAGGGUGCCUAGAGCUGUCUCAGAAGACACUAUGGCCUCACUCUAGAAACUUGGAGGUCUGUGUUUUUAUUCUCACACUGAUAGGAUUUGUCUAAUCAUAUAGCCCAAGAAACAGAUCUGCUUGUGCUGCAACCUAGACAUGCCAUGACACCUUUCUUAUUUCAGAGCCCAUUCAAAGAUGGCAGGCUUUUACACCACCAAGUAUGUGGGUCCAAGCACCAUUACAAAAUUUGGAAUGCAGUGCCUUCAAAACUCCAAUGCCAUCAACGAAUUAAGUUCUGUAAUGGUUUUUGCUAUUAUCAUGCCUGAUGUGCAAAAGAAAGCCAGUACCAAAAUGCUUAAUGAUUCUGGUGUGCCUUUUGCAAGAGCACCGUCCUGACAACCUUGGUAAAUAUAUGUCCUUUGCCCCUUCCCACAGAACAUCCUCUAGCGGAUAUUCUGGCCUCACAUAAUAUCUCCACUCCAGCAUGCCCACUUCCUUGAAACUUCAGUUUCCUUUCUGCAGUAUCUACAGUGAUAAUGCUGGCAUUUCCACUUUACUCUGCCUGGCUUAUCAUUUUCUUUUCUUUUUUUUUUUUUCUUUUUAUGGCCACACAUGCAGCACAUGAAAGUUCCUGGGCCAGGAGUUGAAUCAGAACUGCAACUGCUGGCCUACACCACAGCCACAGCAACACCAAAUCUGAGCUGUAACUGCAACCUAUAUCACAGCUUAUGGCAACUCUGGAUGCUUAACCCACUAAGGAAGGCCAGGGAUAACCCUUAUUCUCACAGAAACACUGGAUCCUUAACCCGCUGAGCCACAAUAGGAACUCUGGGUUAUGGUUUUCUCUUGGUUCUAGAAGUCACUCGAGCAGUGAGUUUGCACUGUGCCCUUUUCCAAGGUAGUAAAUCAUUGUUCUAAAAAAGUGCCUCCCAGACAGUUAAUUAUUUUUCACCCAAUCUAUGCUCUGGCCCCUCAAGAAUCCUCAAAAUCCAGUACCAUGGGCACUUCCCUCAAUGUUAUAGUACAUGCUGGCUGGGUCUGGUAAAUCCCUCAGAGUAUAAUGGCAUUCCUCCCUUAUUAGACCAAGGACAUUCCUGACUGGCAUAUGCUAUAUGAAUGAACCCUAGAUAUAGGCCUAGCAGCUAAGAGAAGAGGUGGAGCCUUAUCUUGAUGGAGGCAGAGCAAAGGCUGUUACCUUGCAGGAGACCAGCCCAUAGUGGUUUCUCACAUGAAAGAGGUGUAUAUAGCUCUUACUAGGAAAGGGAACACCUCUGCAAGCUCUGAGAAUUCAGAGGUAUAUGAAGAGUCAUUAUCUGGGAGAUGAGCAAAACACUUUCCCCCUUCCCAUGUGUCAGGAUGGGGACAGUUUUCUCAACCAGUGCCCUCACUUUAGCAUAACAGACCUGCCUCAGCGGAAUAAUCAAUCAUCUUUGAAGCUCAGGACACUAUUUAAUCUUGAUUAUGGUCUUUUUUUCUUACCCAACACUGAGAUACAGGCCUCUUCAUAAGCUAUCAAAAAAGGGUUUCAGACUUCCCUAGCUAUCAAUUUUUAACUGCCUUUGGCUUUUCACUAUCCCUCUAAUGAGCAACUUAAUAACAAAUAGCCAGUUCCGUUUUCCUUGAAUAGAUGUUUUUCCUCCUGCACUUUUUUAAAUGCCUAAACCAUUAUAUUGGAACACCUCUCAAUUCACCAGGGAAAGUGUUUGCAGUUGGGCCAACAUCUUGUGUCAGAGACUCUUUCUGCCCCUACACACCAUCUGGAUAGGGUUCUCACUGCCAAUCAGGCAGUGAGUGAUCCAGGCCCAAAACUUCAUCUUACCACCUGUUUUCUUUAAGCACUUCUGGAACCACUGUGUCACCUGGGUCCUCUAGGAAGCAGAUAGAUGCUGAUAAAGAGUUAAGAAAGCAGGCUGAAGAGAAAUACCUGUGGAAAGAAAGGGUAGGAGAUAGGAUUGAACAGGGAGAGAUGGCAGACCAUAAUGCAUGUUGGACAAUUUCUCUGCCUGUCCAGUGAGACUCUUGGAAGCCAAGGUCACCAAUUAGAGGAGUCCAGCUCAAAGGCUGAGGUGGAUCUGAGGAAGUAAACAGCAGGAGGCUGCCAGUGAACCACACUCCUUACAACUGAGCAACAUGCCCUUCCUUUGAAGGAGGAUCUGAACAAGGCAUCUCUAGGUCUGCCCCCAUGAUAUCUGAAAAAAUAAGGUUUUACCCUACAUGUGGGCUGAAUAUAUAUCAACCUAAUUAAGGCCAGACUGCCCCUUGUGGGUAUUUGAACAAAUUCUACAUGGCUUACUGAGGUCCUCAACCCUCCUUCAUCUCCAAAUGCCUCUAAUUUCCUCUGAGUUUUUCCCUAGUGUAUGCCCAGAUAUCUUCUUGACAUCUCCAUGUCAAAGGAGAUUAGGAAUAACCUUAGAUAGAGAGACAAGUUUAAAUAGUAUUCUCACCUUUAAAACUACAUCCUGUUUUCUAACUAGUUUGCUCAGAAGAGGAAGUCAAAUGACCUGCAGUUGAGUCAACCAAAACACUAAGUCCUCACUGCAAAUUCUCCCAUCAGGCUCUGAAUGGCAAAGCACUCCCAAGUCAGUAUUUUAAAGGUUAUAUUACACUGAUCAUAGUAAAAAAAAAAAAAUGCUGAAGAUAAAAAUAACAGCUUAAGCCCCAAUGUUAUGAUAUUAAUGUUGUUUCUGGGUGUACACAGAAAAUUCUAUUAUCCUGAAGGACCAGGGUGAGGAAGACAUUCAUACUACAAGUUCCAGCCUGAGAGCUUUUGCUCAAGGGAACACUUCCUUGGGAGCUAAAAACAAUAUCGUUUUCAGGAGCUUCCCCAUUUGCUGACAUUUUAGGGAAGCUUUGGACAUGCUCAAAAAGUAUGACUCUAGCCCACAAGAACUUAAGUCUCUUCUCCCAAGGAGAACUGUUAUGCAUUAAAGAACAUGCCCAACCUGGAUAGAAAAUAAUGCGUACUUGUAAUUAGGUUAAAUGCUAAUGUUAUCAAUGAAUAAUCUGGUCCUGAAGCUUGGAAAAGAAAGUAAAAAUGUGGGGUAACCACUGGAGGAAAAAAAAAGAAAUAAUAGGAGUUCCUGUCGUGGCUCAGGGGUACGAAUGCAUCUAGCACCCAUGAGGACAUGAGUUCAAUCCCUGGCCUCGCUCAGUGAGUUAAGGAUCUGGCAUUGCCGUGAGCUGUGGUGUAGGUGGCAGAUGCAGCUCAGAUCCUGCAUGUGGUGGCUCUGUGGCUCUGGCAUAGGCUGGCAGCUACAGCUCCAAUUCGACCCCUAGCCUGGCAACCUCCAUAUGCUG